rnacentral:misc_RNA from 1 species
AACAACAACAGAUAAUUAAGCAAUGUAACAAUCAAGUGAGAGGAUGCAAAAAUCAGCACUUUGAAACGAAAAUCUGCAGAGAAAUUGAGUUACAAAGUCAAUUUACAGAAGCCAUAAUUAUAGAGUUCUUUAUAUUAUUUGGUCUUAAAUCAUUUGAAUCCUGAAUCAAUUUAAACUCUGAUUAAACCUAUUAAUAUACAAACCAGCCCUAACAAUCAAAAUAUCCCAAAAGAAAAAUUGAUUAUUGUUUGAGUUUCUUUUCGAAAACCAAACAAACAAGCAAAGCAACAAUAUUAACAGAGAGAGAGAGAGAGAAAUGCCUGAAAAGUAGCUCACUGCACUAA